rnacentral:rRNA from 1 species
GGGGAAUUUUCCGCAAUGGGCGAAAGCCUGACGGAGCACUAUCGCGUGGAGGAAGACGGCUCGUGAGUUGUAAACUCCUUUUGUCAGAGAAGAAAAUUGACGGUAUCUGACGAAUAAGCAUCGGCUAAACUCUGUGNCAGCAGCCGCGGUAAGACGGAGGAGGCAAGCGUUAUCCGGAAUCAUUGGGCGUAAAGCGUCCGUAGGUGGUCCUUCAAGUCUGCUGUCAAAGCCCAGGGCUCAACCCUGGAGAGGCAGUGGAAACUGAAGGACUUGGAGUGCGGUAGGGGUAGAGGGAAUUCCCGGUGUAGCGGUGAAAUGCGUAGAGAUCGGGAAGAACACCAAUGGCGAAAGCACUCCGCUGGGCCGAUACUGACACUGCCAGACGAGAGCUAGAGGAGCGAAAGGGAUUAGAUACCCCAGUAGUC